UGAGCAGUGUUGCUCUGCCAUCUGUUAGUUUUUAUACAUUUAUCAAUGCACAUAAUGGUUUAAACUGUUCAACUAUAUCCCCUGACGGCUCAUUGGUUGCUGCUGGAUUUUCAGAUUCAUCGCUGAAGAUUUGGGAUAUGGCAAAGCUUGGGCAAUAGGCUGUUGGUU